rnacentral:tRNA from 1 species
GCUGACGUAGCUCAGUUGGGAGAGCAGCUGACUUGUAAUCAGCAGGUCAUCGGUUCAAGUCCGAUCGUCAGCUCCA